rnacentral:rRNA from 1 species
GAUGAACGCUGGCGGCGUGCCUAAUACAUGCAAGUCGAGCGAACGGACGAGAAGCUUGCUUCUCUGAUGUUAGCGGCGGACGGGUGAGUAACACGUGUAUAACCUACCUAUAAGACUGGGAUAACUUCGGGAAACCGGAGCUAAUACCGGAUGAUAUUUUGAACCGCAUGGUUCAAAAGUGAAAGACGGUCUUGCUGUCACUUAUAGAUGGAUCCGCGCUGCAUUAGCUAGUUGGUAAGGUAACGGCUUACCAAGGCAACGAUGCAUAGCCGACCUGAGAGGGUGAUCGGCCACACUGGAACUGAGACACGGUCCAGACUCCUACGGGAGGCAGCAGUAGGGAAUCUUCCGCAAUGGGCGAAAGCCUGACGGAGCAACGCCGCGUGAGUGAUGAAGGUCUUCGGAUCGUAAAACUCUGUUAUUAGGGAAGAACAUAUGUGUAAGUAACUGUGCACAUCUUGACGGUACCUAAUCAGAAAGCCACGGCUAAUUACGUG